rnacentral:rRNA from 1 species
GAUGAACGCUGGCGGCGUGCCUAAUACAUGCAAGUCGAGCGAACGGACGAGAAGCUUGCUUCUCUGAUGUUAGCGGAGGACGGGAGAGAAACACGUGGAACCCCUACCUAUAAGACGGGGAUCAUUUCGGGACACCGGAGAUAAUGCCGGAUAAUAUUUUGCACCGCAUGGUUCAAAGGAAAAAGACGGUGUUGCUGUCACUUAUCGAUGGAUCCGGGCUGCAUUGGCUGGUUGGUAAGGUCAAGGCUUAUCAAGGCAACGAUGCAUAGCCGGCCUGCGGGGGUGAUCGGCCACCUGGGAACGGAGACACGGACCAUACGCCUACGGGAGGCAGCAGUAUGGAAUCUUACGCAACGGGCGAAAGCCUUGCAGAGCAGCGCCGCGUGAGUUAUGGAGGUCUUCGGUGCGUAAAACUCUGUUAUUAGUGAUGAACAUAUGUGGAAUUAGCUGUGCACAUCGUGACGGUACCUAAUCAGAAAGCCACGGCUAACUACGUG